rnacentral:pre_miRNA from 9 species
UAUCAAUAGCGUAACAGUUAAUUCAAAUUUGUACGGAGUUCGAACGUUUAAGUACUUACGUUUGCCGCUAGGGGCGCUGUUCCGACUGCAUACAAAUUUGAGUUAACUUUUACGCUAUCGA